rnacentral:sRNA from 1 species
CACCGCCUGGGGAGUACGACCGCAAGGUUAAAACUCAAAUGAAUUGACGGGGACCCGCACAAGUAGUGGAGCAUGUGGUUUAAUUCGAAGAUACGCGCAGAACCUUACCAACACUUGACAUGUUCGUCGCGACUUUAAGAGAUUAAAGUUUUCGGUUCGGCCGGACGAAACACAGGUGCUGCAUGGCUGUCGUCAGCUCGUGUCGUGAGAUGUUGGGUUAAGUCCCGCAACGAGCGCAACCCUCACUUUUAGUUGCCAUCAUUUAGUUGGGCACUCUGAAAGAACUGCCAGUGAUAAGCUGGAGGAAGGUGGGGAUGACGUCAAGUCCUCAUGGCCCUUACGUGUUGGGCUACACACGUGCUACAAUGGUAUUUACAACAGGAAGCAAAACGGCGACGUUAAGCAAAUCCUCAAAAAAUACCUCAGUUCGGAUUGCACUCUGCAACUCGAGUGCAUGAAGCUGGAAUUACUAGUAAUCGUGGAUCAGCGUGCCACGGUGAAUGCGUUCCCGGGUCUUGUACACGCCGCCCGUCACACCAUGGGAGUUGGUUCUACCUUAAGGCAAGGUUUAAAACCCUUGACCACGGUAUAGUCAGCGACUGGGGUGAAGUCGUAACAAGGUAGCCGUAGGGGAACCUGCGGCUGGAUUACCUCCUUUCUAAGGAUGAGUAAAAUAAAUUUUUACUCUAAAUAAUUAUACAGGUUAAUGUUGACCGUCCUCAUUUCUCUUCUUAAAACAGUGUUUCUCUUGCAUGGGGGCCGGUAGCUCAGUUGGUUAGAGCACACCCUUGAUAAGGGUGGGGUCGAAAGUUCGAGUCUUUCUCGGCCCACCAAUUUAAGAUCAUGGGGGAUUAGCUCAGCUGGGAGAGCGCCUGAUUUGCAUUCAGGAGGUCAGCGGUUCGAUCCCGCUAUCCUCCACCAAAACACUUAGUUAUAAAAAAUUGUGAAUAUAAAUAAUAAUUAAUAUCAAUAUCUAUAUCCGAACAUUAGUAAUGUUAUUAGCUAAUGUUCAAAAUAAAAAUUUGAUUCAACACAGAAUUUUUUUCUG